GCUGGGCAUGGUGGUGCAUGCCUGUAGUCCCAGCUACUCGGGAGGCUGAGGCAGGAGAAUUGCUUGAACCCAGGAGGCGGAGGUUGCGGUGAGCCGAGAUCGUGCCAUUGCACUCCAGCCUGGGUAACAACAAUGAAACUCUGUCUCAAAAAAAAGAACUAUUCAUCAAAGAGAUUUUGUUGUUGUUGUUGUUGUUUUGAGACGGAGUAUUACUCUGUCACCCAGGCUAGAGUGCAGUGGCACGAUCUUGGCUCACUGCAACCUCCACCUCCUGGGUUCAAGCGCUUCUCCUGCCACAG
rnacentral:SRP_RNA from 1 species